CAUUGCCCCCUCUCCCCUCCUUGCCCGGCGCUGCAGAUGAACGCGCUCCCGAAGGUGUGCGCGCCUGGGCUGGGUUGUGGAAUCCUCUCCGGCCAACACCUGGAGUGCCUGUGUCCCCCUCCCCGCAUGGCUGAGGUUCCCUGCACUCCCCAGCCGACUACAAGGGGCGACAAUAAAGCCGAUGUCCAUCAUGUCGCCUUUUCAUUUCAGAAAGGGCAGAUCCUGACCUCAGUUCCCCAAGUGGAAGCUUGUCUUGGGCACUCACUGUUGUCAUCAUUUGCUCCAACAUUUAAACAGAUGAGUAUUCGUACAUAUUUUCUCCCUGCUUUCCAUCCAGGCUUUUUUCUUUCUUCCAUUUUCCCCCUUAGCCGAAGGGGAAGCUCCGGUAAUUGCGGGGGAGCGGGAACGGCGUUCAGGCGGACAGUGGCACCCGGGCACACACCUGAGCCGCAUGCCCACGCCUUCGCGUGGGAAUCCGCUCCCAUCAUUUAGCUCCCAAGAAAACUGUUGAUCUCUAAGUGUGAGCCUGAGCCUUUGCAUUUAGUGCUCAUGGCUGCUUCGUUUCCUCCCUCCCCCCAGCCCUUUCCCCUCCAGCUUCGUCCCUCUGUUGUGCUUCCAGAGAUAACCAGGUCCCCCCGGUGGGCUGGGGCAGCCGCGGGGCGCGGGCGUCUGCGCCAGGACGGGACCGCGCAGCGCUCGCUGCGGGGGCAGAGGAGGGGGACGUGCCCUCGCUUCUCAGCCAACUGGACAAGAAUGGGUUCUAUUAUUAUUGUUGUUGUUGCUUUUUCUGUUAGUAAUAUUAUUGUUAUUGGUAUUGUUGUUGUAACUAUUAUAUUAAUUUAAAAACUAUCCCUUUGCAACUUGCAAAGCGACUGUAAAUGUACCUUAAACCUGCUUUUUUUCCCUAGCCAAUGGUGUCAGGGGCCGGCUAGCCUGUCCCUCCGGAGCAUUAACCCUUGUCGCUAGCUGGAGUGAGUGAGAAGCUGAGGUUUGGCCCUGAGGAGCCGUGUGUGUAGAUCUGGCACAGCUUUGCUCCCUUAACUCCUGGAUCUUUGUUUUGGUGGCGACCAGGGAGAGCAGGGAGCGCUGUGCUCGCAUUUCCCUCUGGCUUUUACACACGCACACACACACACACACACACACACACACACACACACAAAUCCCCCUUUCCAACUUUCUGCUUUUUGCGCUUCCCUUCCAGUUUUUUCACUUCUCAGACCUACUGGCAGCAUUUGCCGAGAUCUAGAUCCCCGUCGUGGGUUUUUCAGAUCCAAGUGAGACCAAUAAAAAACCCAACAGCUUCUAAGGAAAAUAUACUACUGCUGGUGUAACUCACAAUCCAAAUAUGAGCACAGUUCUUAAAAAUUCUACUGCAGAAUAUUUUCAGGGGAGUGGUUGCACCUCAUGACAUUCUUACAAAAAUAUGAAGAAUAUUAAUUUUUUCCAAUGGAAAUAAAUCCUUUCUUUUCUCCUCUGUGAAACAAGACACUCCCUAUGUUUCUAUUGCUCCUGUGCUGUACAUCCACUGAGAAUGGCCCGUCAUUCUGCAAACUCUCAUGCAUUUUACAGAAUCAACAUUGCUAUUCAUCUCAUGCAACUGCAGCCAAUCUUGGCGGCCAGGUGAAACAUGGUGUCGAAACAGUGAAACCGUCCCAAAGAAAUACAAGCUCUCAAAGUGUGAAUGGCUGCGUGGAUGAAAGAAGGCAUUUUGAAUUACACCUGGAAAUGAAGCAGAGUGGCCAAGGAUGGGAGGAGGAGCGGUGGCGGGGCCGGCGGUCCCACCCUCACCUGCUGAGGCUCUCGCAGGUCUGCUCUGAGCACAUCAGAUAUGAUUGGGAGCAGCUGCAAGCUGAGCCCAGUGCAGCGCUCCCAAUACAUUCCAGAUGAUGAAUAUGAUGCAGGCUUACUGGAAGAAAAAUAUAUUUCUGAAGAGAAAAACAAUUACUUCUCAAAGCAAGACAAUGAAGCUGAACCGACUCUACAUGGGCAUAAAAUAGAACUUUUGGGCAAUGGCUUUAGCUUCUAAUAAAUCACCCACCUGGAGAUACUUUGCAGAGUAAGCUUGGAUGUACCAGACUCCCAAAUAUUUUCAGAGGUAUAUAAAGUUGAAAAAUUAGGCAUUUAAACCUUUAUUUCUACCCAAAGGGACAGAUACUCUGUCGUGUCAUAGUCUCCGAUUUUCAUGUUAGCAGAAAGGUGCCCUUGCCUGUCCUAACAACACGUUGGCUGUCUCAUGGAAGUUAUGUAAAAAAGGCUUGGAAACACCACUUGAUACAGUGGGUUUCACUUGCUGAAUCUUCAGAGGGGAACUUGAACAAAAUUUGCAAAAACAUGUCAAAAGUUAAGUGGUGAAAAUCAGCUUAAAUGCCUAAUUUUAAUUUUGUUUGUGCUCUUUGUUGUUUCAUUGUGGAGGGAGGGAAGAAGCUGUCUUUUUUCUCCCUGUCCUUUCAUUUUGUUUGGGAGAAAAUGGAUGUUGGUGAAAAGAAGAGAGCUCUGGCAGGGACUGGAAAGAGGUUGUUUAUUCUGUUUUGUUUCCUUUAGAAAGGGGCAACUCUUCUAAAACUGGUGAUGAUCCAGUUAAAGGGGGACUCCGGGUGGGGAAGAGAAAAGAAAACUAAUAAUCAGCCUCUAAAUGACAACUUUUCUCUUGAACAAAAGAGCAACAGGAGGCGGUGCAGGCAGGGGGUCAGUGCCCAGGGGUAACGUGACCAAAACAAUGGCUGGAGAAUGUGUGUAGCUUUUGCCACUCCAGAAGCUGCUGCCCCAGUGUCUUCACUGAGGGACUGCAAGGAUCAAACCUGAUCUGAUGCUGGGCAAGAGUGGUGCCACUUCUGGAGUCUUCUAAAGUGGAGGCAAUGGCUGACUGUGGGUAAUGCAAGCAGGAAUUGAAGAAUUGCAAGGGAAUCCCCCCAUUUCUGAAUGACAGGUGUGAUUGAACAGCCCCAGCCAAUAAGGCAGAGUCCCUACCAGCCAUGGGGCUAAAGGUGGGGUUUAAAAAAGAUGGAGACUGCGUGGCAGUGUCUGUGCUUCCUUGCUCUUGGUUAAUUGCCUGCUGGGGAAAGCCAGCGGUGUUGGAUAAACUGAUGCAAGAAGAUUUUAAACUGUUAUGAGUAUUCAUGCAGAAGUUCAUUCUGGUUUAGACUAAAUUGGUUUUAAUUUCAAUUCAUGUAGCUUCUGUGUAGAUGAGGCCUAUGGCUUGCCAUUUUGCAGCAAUGGUGAAUUUAUAGCAUAUGUGCUGCAAAUGGACUAUCAUGCAAAUUCUCCUGAUAUUUGCUCCAAGUCCAGUUCCAGCUGUCGGUGGAGAUGGAGGAGCAGAAUAGACCACUCACAUGGCCUCCCAUGUAAUGCAGAUUGGAUCUAUUGUCAGUCAGAUGGACUGGUGGUGUGGGAGCAGUGUGAAGCCAGUUCUUUCACUACAUGGUGUGUAAAGCAAUGAGGCAGACAAAAGCUGGAUUUAAAUUAGGGAAUAUUUCUGCCAAAUUUCGUUCUCUGAAGCAGAAAAAUAAAACACUUAAUGUGUCUGGCAAUGUUUAUUCUGUGCACAGGGUUUUAGUUGAUCAUAAAAGAAAAGCUAUGUGUGAACAUUAUCUGGUAACUUCAUAUUCUGAGGAGAUGAGAGAGUAUGAUUCCACCAUGGUCUGAAAAAGUAUUAGACUGAGAAAGCAGAAACAAUUUGGCAAGAAAACAAGGUGGCAACAGAAAAUGAAAAAAAAAGGUUAUUUUUGAUUAGGUAGGAAUUACCAGUUAUAAUCACAGCAAAAUUGUAUCUGCCACAAAGGCUCCAUUUUGAACGUCCUUGAUGUCCUCAGUGUCCUGCUCAAUGGCCAGAGGCUUCCUACUUUGCCUUCUUGCUGCUUAUUCAAAGAAAGGCAAGCUCUGAAUGGUUGGAAAAUAUAUGUGCUUCUCAUGUGGUAAGAGCAUGUGCAUGAAAAUUAAAGAAUUCCUUGCCUGUGCACCAUGGGUAUCGGUGCUGAUAAGGAGGCAGUAACUCUCAUUACAUGCAUAUUGGCCCUUUGAAGAUUUGGCCCUGAAUUCUACUGGUGAAGUAUUUUCCAUGACUUUUCCACUGUAUCUUCAUAGAGGUUGGUGCUCCAAUCAUCCAAUACCUUGACAGAAAUAGAAGACAGUGUUAAAAAUAACCCAAAGAAGUAAUACUAGACCAUUUUUAAUUCUAAAUGAUUGAAAGAGCAACUAUCAGCUAAUGUGAAUGAAAACAUAGUUGAGUAAUCAAAGUAAGAAGAAUGUCAAGAAUAACAACUUUGUAACUGGAUUUGGAAAAAUAAACAAUUCUUUCCUUUUUUUUGCAUAAUAAAUAUGGUGCGGGUAGCAAAAAAUAGCA